UAUUUGACCGGAACGAUAAAAAUGACGGUUAUUUUCGUCUGUAUUACUAUUCAACUGUAUGUUACUAUGGUUACCAAUCUUUAUAGGAAGCGCAUUAAUAUAGAACGUGAUUCAACUGACCUGGAACUACCUGUGCAGUUCAACACCUGCCAGCCAAUCAGAAUCCAGUAUUCAGACAGACCAUGGCAUAAAGCGGCAUGUUCUUAUUUUUAUCAGCUUCUGCAAGCGUGUAUGGCGUCUGGCUUCAGAACCUCACUGUGACUUCAGAUAAGAACAAAGAUUAAAUUGUAAGAAGGGUUGCUUAUAAAAGCAUACAGUACAUCUGAAACUGCUGAGACUGGUAAGGUUUUUGACUAUAUUUCCGACCAGGUACAUUGUUCUGUCAUUCUUAAAUAGAAAACAAAUCAUCAAUCAUCAUUUGCCUUUUUUGUGUGUGUGCGUGUAAGAAAUAUUAACAUUUGUUGUUUUUCAGAUCAGCUGCUAUAGAAGACAAAAUGAAAUCUGAGUGCAGAGACAUGCAAAGGAAUACUGCAAGGCACUACUGACUAGGCUGUGCCCAGGUCUCCGGAACCUGCGACGACGCUCAGCUCCGUUGGCCCUUAGUCUGCGGCUUCGGAUCCACCAGCUCUGUCUCCAUCGGUCGGCCCCCAGAUGUUGGCAGCCACACCAUCUACAUCUUGGCUCCUCCCUCCCUCGACUCCGCCGUGUGUUGUCAGCACUGGGAUGCUCUGGGUCUGUGCCAUGUGCCAAACACCAUCUAAGCCGCAUCUCAUCCUCCCAUCACCAUCCCUUCACCACAUCCUGCCAUCAUCCCGCACCUUUGCCUCUCACCAUCCCUACAUCAUCUCCUCGUCCACCUCCAAAACUCCUCUAUCCAUCCCUAUUCUGUUGCUUGAACUUUAUCAUCUUCAGUCUUUGCACACACAUCUAUUCACUUUACAUGUUUUUUUUUCUUCAGAAAAUUGCAUUGUAAUUUUUAUUUAUUCAUUGAUGUAAAAUUCUUUACUUUUCAGUAAUACAGGUAUAACUGAAAUGUUCU